rnacentral:rRNA from 1 species
GACGAAGGUGGCAAGCGUUGCUCGGAAUCACUGGGCAUAAAGCGCGCGUAGGUGGCCUGGUAAGUCAGUGGUGAAAUCCCAUCGCUCACCGAUGGAACUGCCGCUGAUACUGUCGGGCUUGAGGACGGUAGGGGAGAGUGGAACUCCUGGUGUAGCGGUGAAAUGCGUAGAUAUCAGGAGGAACGCCGGUGGCGAAAGCGACUCUCUGGGCUGUUCCUGACACUGAUGCGCGAAAGCUAGGGGAGCGAACGGG